rnacentral:rRNA from 1 species
GAGUUUGAUCGUGGCUCAGAGCGAACGCUGGCGGCAGGCCUAACACAUGCAAGUCGAACGAACUCUUCGGAGUUAGUGGCGGACGGGUGAGUAACACGUGGGAACGUGCCUUUUGGUUCGGAAUAACUCAGGGAAACCUGUGCUAAUACCGAAUGUGCCCUUCGGGGAAGAUUUAUCGCCAUUAGAGCGGCCCGCGUCUGAUUAGCUAGUUGGUGAGGUAAAGGCUCACCAAGGCGACGAUCAGUAGCUGGUCUGAGAGGAUGAUCAGCCACAUUGGGACUGAGACACGGCCCAAACUCCUACGGGAGGCAGCAGCGGGGAACCUUGCGCAAUGGGCGAAAGCCUGACGCAGCCAUGCCGCGUGAAUGAUGAAGGUCUUAGGAUUGUAAAAUUCUUUCACCGGGGACGAUAAUGACGGUACCCGGAGAGAAGCCCGGCUAACUUCGUGCCAGCCGCCGCGAUAAG